AUCUCUUCUGGGCCUUUUGGCUAAGAUCAAGUGUAGUAUAUUCCCUUCUAAUGCUCAGAAACUUCUAGUAGAAUAUGUACUAAUAGUGAAAUUGGCGGGGGGCGGGGGGGGGGGGAGCAACUUCAGAGGAAAAAAGCCUCCCCGUGUCUUGUUUCCAUGUAUACUACUCAGAAAGCAUAGGCAAGAGUAA